CAUAAUCGAACAUGGCGGGAAAUGUGGAUGAGGGUGUUUACAAAUGGACAGAUGAGCACACACGUCUGCUUAUCCGGCGGAGACGAGAGCGGCUAAUGAAGCCCUCUUCACCAGAAAGCGGAAUGCUGCCAUCAAAGACUUUGAAGCUGUUGUGGUGGAGCAGGACCUGCAAGGAAAGGUGAUGGCGGCAUUUGUGGGAAAAAAAGGGAAACCCUAAAACAAAAAUAUAAAGAUCUGUAAUGUCUGCAGAGUGGUGAGCAGUGAG